rnacentral:rRNA from 1 species
AUUACAUUGAAUGUGGCCCUUCGGGGUGUUAUAGCUUUGUAAAAAAUACCUUGGACGGGACUGAGGAACGCAGCGAAUGCCUUUAGGCGAGAUUGCUGGGUGCUUGCGCUGAUACAUGCUAGAAUUUCUGCUUUGGGUGGUGCUAGUGUGUAAAGGAGUAACCCGCUUAGUAUAUUUUUUAUUCGCUUAGGUUGUUGGCUUAAUGACUCUAAAUGACCCGUCUUGAAACACGGACCAAGGAGUCCACCAUUAGUGCAAGUAUUUGGGUGACAAACCCAUAUGCGCAAGGAAACUGAUUGAUACGAA